CUGACCUACAGUGGAAUCUUCCAUCCCCAAAGCUCCCCGCUUUCAGCGCUACCAAAUGCUACAGGUGCGCUUAGUCUCACACCCCGAGAGCCUGCAGCCCUCCUUGUAGCUUAAAGAGCAGUUCUGUUCCUGAAGAUGCCUCUCUUCCCCUCACUCCCAGUCACCAGGUCAAUCCCCUAUCUCUCUCAAGGACUGAAUUUACAUGGGAUGUUCAACUACUACAACUGGACUGCCUUUACAUCCUCUGUAUACCCCAUGAGUCUCUUCCAACAUGAAUUUUGGAGGACUUUGGAUAACAUUUGUAAGAUAAAAUAUAAACUCUCAGCGACUGCUCCAGCGCCUAUGCCUGCCUGCCUUCCCCCUACAAUGCUUUCUGCCAUGAGGGUCAUGGACUAAUGAACGUUCUGGAACCGUGAGCAAGCUCUCAAGUUAAAUUCUUUCUUUUUAGUGUUUCUUUGCAGCAAUUGAACAGUGAUUAAAACAGCUGGAAUUACAGUGGAUAUCUCCACAUCCGACCCUGAUGUCUACCUUAUCAGGCACUCCUUUAAAAGGCCUUGAGUUGUUUCUGCUUUUCAGGAUAUAUCUGAAAUCACUGAGAUUCUCUAGCUCCCUUGUUCCAAGAAUCCAAGAAUCAGGACAUGCUGUAGAACAGGGGGGUUGGUUGUGUUCCCAAGGCUCAAAGGAGUUUUCAGACAUACAACUUGGCUGGAGAUACACCGGAACUUCUGGUACAUCCCGCAAACUGGGAGAGGAUGUGACAGAAUACAUAAAAUAAAGUAAAACAGCCAUCACUGAGCGAGCGCUGUAUGAAAUGCCAAGAGCUGUGCUGCCCUUGCGCAUGUCACCUCCGUUGAUGCUGAUCACAACCCAGUGAGGCGGAAAUCACCACCCUUGUUUUAUAGGUUCCAUUUUCAGGUGGUGGUAACAGACUCAGCACUCAUGAGAUACUGUAUUUGUUAAGAUCUAGGGCAGAGGGUGCUCCAUAAACCAGUGCGUCUUGGUUCGUUUGUAUUGCUGUAACAGGACACCAGAGACUGUGUAAUUUAUAAUGAACAAAAAUUUAUUGACUCAUGAUUCUGGAGGCUGAUGAUAGAACUUCUGGCUGCAUCACAGAAUGGCAGAAUGUCCCCUGUGGACAGAAGAUGUGGUAAGAGAAGCCAAACUCAUCCUUUUUGGCAGGAAUCCAUUCCCUUGAUAACAGGAUUAAUCCAUUUAUGAGAGCGGAACUCUAAAGAACCAAUCAUUCCAGACUGCAGCACUGAUAACCUCAGGACAAGUCUCCCUCAAUACCUGUGCCUAAUCCCAGUCAGUGCUCCUCACUCCUCUUUCGGGGGGGACUUCUGCUUCCCCUCCCCCAGCCUGAGCCCUUUAUAACUCAGCCAUUAUGGCUACCCGUCUCUUGACCUCUUGGCCAAGGCCACCUUUUGGUUGGGAGCUCCUCACUUGCUCUCCCUCCCCUUCUCUCCUUUUACGGUCUAGUUUAGUCUGCCGACCAUGUUCAGCCUGGACUCUUCCCUCUGCCUGUUCUCCUUUAUAUCUACAGUAAAAAACUUCAUACUUUAGGAGUAUUCUACUCUUUUUAUUUCUUAUUUUUUUUUCAUUUAGUUGUGUUUUCUGACACUUGAACUUUGAGGGUCAGCCUCACACCAUAGCAAUCUAGAAUAUACACCUACUCAGAAGCUAAACACACUACAUAGAAGCUAAGCCACAGUGCAGAAUCUGUAACCAUCACCAUCAGUGAACUCUAACAACAGGGCACCCCUGACCUCCAUGCCCUGGGGUGCGCUGCUGUGAAAGACCCAGAGACAUUGGAGAGAACAACGUGCCUUGAAUCUUAAGAGUUCUGGUAUGCAUAGGCCAA